UACGGAGGGGGCUAGCGUUGUUCGGAAUUACUGGGCGUAAAGCGCACGUAGGCGGCUUGGUAAGUUAGAGGUGAAAGCCUGGAGCUCAACUCCAGAAUUGCCUUUAAGACUGCCGAGCUAGCAGGUGAGGGGUGAGUGGAAUUCCGAGUGUAGAGGUGAAAUUCGUAGAUAUUCGGAAGAACACCAGUGGCGAAGGCGACUUACUGGACACAUACUGACGCUGAGGUGCGAAAGCGUGGGGAGCAAACAGG
rnacentral:rRNA from 1 species